GAUUAGUGGCGAACGGGUGAGUAACACGUGGGCAAUCUGCCCUGCACUCUGGGACAAGCCCUGGAAACGGGGUCUAAUACCGGAUACUGACCCGCUUGGGCAUCCAAGCGGUUCGAAAGCUCCGGCGGUGCAGGAUGAGCCCGCGGCCUAUCAGCUUGUUGGUGAGGUAAUGGCUCACCAAGGCGACGACGGGUAGCCGGCCUGAGAGGGCGACCGGCCACACUGGGACUGAGACACGGCCCAGACUCCUACGGGAGGCAGCAGUGGGGAAUAUUGCACAAUGGGCGAAAGCCUGAUGCAGCGACGCCGCGUGAGGGAUGACGGCCUUCGGGUUGUAAACCUCUUUCAGCAGGGAAGAAGCGAAAGUGACGGUACCUGCAGAAGAAGCGCCGGCUAACUACGUGCCAGCAGCCGCGGUAAUACGUAGGGCGCGAGCGUUGUCCGGAAUUAUUGGGCGUAAAGAGCUCGUAGGCGGCUUGUCGCGUCGGUUGUGAAAGCCCGGGGCUUAACCCCGGGUCUGCAGUCGAUACGGGCAGGCUAGAGUUCGGUAGGGGAGAUCGGAAUUCCUGGUGUAGCGGUGAAAUGCGCAGAUAUCAGGAGGAACACCGGUGGCGAAGGCGGAUCUCUGGGCCGAUACUGACGCUGAGGAGCGAAAGCGUGGGGAGCGAACAGGAUUAGAUACCCUGGUAGUCCACGCCGU
rnacentral:rRNA from 2 species